UGUUCGUUAUUUAGGGCGCAUGGUGGAUGCCUUGGCAUGCUGAGCCGAUGAAGGACGUGAAAGGCUGCGUUAAGCCUCGGGGAGUUGUCAAUUGAGCGUUGAUCCGAGGAUGUCCGAAUGGGGAAACCUGGCACCUGUUAUGGGGUGUUACCCUUCAGUGAAUUCAUAGCUGUUGUGGGGGUUACGCGGGGAAGUGAAACAUCUCAGUACCCGUAGGAGAAGAAAAUAAUAAUGAUUCUGCUAGUAGUGGCGAACGAACGUGGAUGAGGCUAAACCGUGUGCAUGUGAUACCUGGUAGGGGUUGUGUGUGCGGUGUUGUGGGCCCUGAUGAGGAUGGCUACUGACGUCCUGCCCGCGCAUUGUUGUUAGGUGAAGUGGUGUGGAAACGCCUGCCGUAGAAGGUGAUAGUCCUGUAGCUGAAGAUGAUGGUGUGUGGGUUGUUGGGUUGCCCGAGUAGCAGCGGGCUCGUGGAAUCUGCUGUGAAUCUGCCGGGACCACCCGGUAAGCCUAAAUACUCAGUGUGACCGAUAGUGGAUAGUACCGUGAGGGAAUGGUGAAAAGUACCCCGGGAGGGGAGUGAAAUAGUUCCUGAAACCAUGUGCUUACAAUCCGUCAGAGCACUUUUUGUGUGUGAUGGCGUGCCUUUUGAAGAAUGAGCCUGCGAGUCAGCGGCAUGUCGCGAGGUUAACCCGUGUGGGGUAGCCGUAGGGAAACCGAAUCCUAAUGGGGUGUUUAGUGGCAUGUCCUGGACCCGAAGCGGGGUGAUCUACCCAUGGCCAGUGUGAAGCAGCAGUAAGAUGCUGUGGAGGCGCGAACCCACGUAGGUUGAAAACUGCGGGGAUGAGCUGUGGGUAGGGGUGAAAGGCCAAUCAAACUCCGUGAUAGCUGGUUCUCCCCGAAAUGCAUUUAGGUGCAGCGUCGCAUUAGCUUGGUGGAGGUAGAGCUACUGGUUGGUUGAGCGGGACUACAAUCUUAGCAAUGUCAGCCAAACUCCGAAUGCCAUUAAUGUGUUGUGCGGCAGUGAGACUGUGGGGGAUAAGCUUCAUAGUCGAGAGGGAAACAGCCCAGAUCGCCGGUUAAGGCCCCUAAGGGUGUGCUAAGUGGAAAAGGAUGUGGGAUCGCGAAGACAGCCAGGAGGUUGGCUUAGAAGCAGCCAUCCUUGAAAGAGUGCGUAAUAGCUCACUGGUCGAGUGGUUCUGCGCCGACAAUGUAGUGGGGCUCAAGCACACCGCCGAAGCCGCGGCAAUAAUAUUUUGUUAUUGGGUAGGGGAGCGUCGUGCA
rnacentral:rRNA from 1 species